rnacentral:piRNA from 1 species
UCCAGCUAAUCAGGGCAGCAGGAGCA